rnacentral:rRNA from 1 species
GGUUAAGCGACUAAGCGUACACGGUGGAUGCCCUGGCAGUCAGAGGCGAUGAAGGACGUGCUAAUCUGCGAAAAGCGCCGGCGAGGUGAUAUGAACCCUUGACCCGGCGAUGUCCGAAUGGGGAAACCCAGUGUGUUCCGACACACUAUCGUUAACUGAAUACAUAGGUUAACGAGGCGAACCGGGGGAACUGAAACAUCUAAGUACCCCGAGGAAAAGAAAUCAACCGAGAUUCCCCCAGUAGCGGCGAGCGAACGGGGAGCAGCCCGGAGUCUGAAUCAGCUUGUGUGUUAGUGGAACGGUCUGGAAAGUCCGACGGUACAGGGUGAUAGUCCCGUACACGAAAAUGCACAUGCUGUGAACUCGAAGAGUAGGGCGGGACACGUGGUAUCCUGUCUGAAUAUGGGGGGACCAUCCUCCAAGGCUAAAUACUCCUGACUGACCGAUAGUGAACCAGUACCGUGAGGGAAAGGCGAAAAGAACCCCGGCGAGGGGAGUGAAAAAGAACCUGAAACCGUGUACGUACAAGCAGUGGGAGCACCUUCGGGUGUGACUGCGUACCUUUUGUAUAAUGGGUCAGCGACUUAUAUUCUGUAGCAAGGUUAACCGUAUAGGGGAGCCGAAGGGAAACCGAGUCUUAACUGGGCGUUAAGUUGCAGGGUAUAGACCCGAAACCCGGUGAUCUAGCCAUGGGCAGGUUGAAGGUUGGGUAACACUAACUGGAGGACCGAACCGACUAAUGUUGAAAAAUUAGCGGAUGACCUGUGGCUGGGGGUGAAAGGCCAAUCAAACCGGGAGAUAGCUGGUUCUCCCCGAAAGCUAUUUAGGUAGCGCCUCGUGAACUCAUCUUCGGGGGUAGAGCACUGUUUCGGCUAGGGGGCCAUCCCGGCUUACCAACCCGAUGCAAACUACGAAUACCGAAGAAUGUUAUCACGGGAGACACACGGCGGGUGCUAACGUCCGUCGUGAAGAGGGAAACAACCCAGACCGCCAGCUAAGGUCCCAAAGUCAUGGUUAAGUGGGAAACGAUGUGGGAAGGCACAGACAGCCAGGAUGUUGGCUUAGAAGCAGCCAUCAUUUAAAGAAAGCGUAAUAGCUCACUGGUCGAGUCGGCCUGCGCGGAAGAUGUAACGGGGCUAAACCAUGCACCGAAGCUGCGGCAGCGACGCUUAUGCGUUGUUGGGUAGGGGAGCGUUCUGUAAGCCGUUGAAGGUGUGCUGUGAGGCAUGCUGGAGGUAUCAGAAGUGCGAAUGCUGACAUAAGUAACGAUAAAGCGGGUGAAAAGCCCGCUCGCCGGAAGACCAAGGGUUCCUGUCCAACGUUAAUCGGGGCAGGGUGAGUCGACCCCUAAGGCGAGGCCGAAAGGCGUAGUCGAUGGGAAACAGGUUAAUAUUCCUGUACUUGGUGUUACUGCGAAGGGGGGACGGAGAAGGCUAUGUCAGCCGGGCGACGGUUGUCCCGGUUUAAGCAUGUAGGCGGAGGUUCCAGGUAAAUCCGGUACCUUGUUAACGCUGAGGUGUGAUGACGAGGCACUACGGUGCUGAAGUGAUAAAUGCCCUGCUUCCAGGAAAAGCCUCUAAGCAUCAGGUAACACGAAAUCGUACCCCAAACCGACACAGGUGGUCAGGUAGAGAAUACCAAGGCGCUUGAGAGAACUCGGGUGAAGGAACUAGGCAAAAUGGUGCCGUAACUUCGGGAGAAGGCACGCUGAUAGGUAGGUGAAGCCCCUGCGGGCGGAGCUGAAAUCAGUCGAAGAUACCAGCUGGCUGCAACUGUUUAUUAAAAACACAGCACUGUGCAAACACGAAAGUGGACGUAUACGGUGUGACGCCUGCCCGGUGCCGGAAGGUUAAUUGAUGGGGUUAGCGGCAACGCGAAGCUCUUGAUCGAAGCCCCGGUAAACGGCGGCCGUAACUAUAACGGUCCUAAGGUAGCGAAAUUCCUUGUCGGGUAAGUUCCGACCUGCACGAAUGGCGUAAUGAUGGCCAGGCUGUCUCCACCCGAGACUCAGUGAAAUUGAACUCGCUGUGAAGAUGCAGUGUACCCGCGGCAAGACGGAAAGACCCCGUGAACCUUUACUAUAGCUUGACACUGAACACUGGUCCUUGAUGUGUAGGAUAGGUGGGAGGCUUUGAAGCGUGGACGCCAGUCUGCGUGGAGCCGUCCUUGAAAUACCACCCUUUAAUGGCUGGUGUUCUAACGUAGACCCGUGAUCCGGGUUGCGGACAGUGUCUGGUGGGUAGUUUGACUGGGGCGGUCUCCUCCCAAAGAGUAACGGAGGAGCACGAAGGUUGGCUAAUCCUGGUCGGACAUCAGGAGGUUAGUGCAAUGGCAUAAGCCAGCUUGACUGCGAGCGUGACGGCGCGAGCAGGUGCGAAAGCAGGUCAUAGUGAUCCGGUGGUUCUGAAUGGAAGGGCCAUCGCUCAACGGAUAAAAGGUACUCCGGGGAUAACAGGCUGAUACCGCCCAAGAGUUCAUAUCGACGGCGGUGUUUGGCACCUCGAUGUCGGCUCAUCACAUCCUGGGGCUGAAGUAGGUCCCAAGGGUAUGGCUGUUCGCCAUUUAAAGUGGUACGCGAGCUGGGUUUAGAACGUCGUGAGACAGUUCGGUCCCUAUCUGCCGUGGGCGCUGGAGAAUUGAGGGGGGCUGCUCCUAGUACGAGAGGACCGGAGUGGACGCAUCACUGGUGUUCGGGUUGUCAUGCCAAUGGCACUGCCCGGUAGCUAAAUGCGGAAGAGAUAAGUGCUGAAAGCAUCUAAGCACGAAACUUGCCCCGAGAUGAGUUCUCCCUGAGACUUUAAGUCUCCUGAAGGAACGUUGAAGACGACGACGUUGAUAGGUCGGGUGUGUAAGCGCAGCGAUGCGUUGAGCUAACCGAUACUAAUGAACCGUGAGGCUUAACCUU